rnacentral:rRNA from 1 species
UAAGUUAUUAAGGGCGCACGGUGGAUGCCUUGGCACUAGAAGCCGAUGAAGGACGUUACUAACGACGAUAUGCUUUGGGGAGCUGUAAGUAAGCUUUGAUCCAGAGAUUUCCGAAUGGGGAAACCCAGCAUGAGUUAUGUCAUGUUAUCGAUAUGUGAAUACAUAGCAUAUCAGAAGGCACACCCGGAGAACUGAAACAUCUUAGUACCCGGAGGAAGAGAAAGAAAAUUCGAUUCCCUUAGUAGCGGCGAGCGAAACGGGAAGAGCCCAAACCAACAAGCUUGCUUGUUGGGGUUGUAGGACACUCUAUACGGAGUUACAAAGGACGACAUUAGACGAAUCAUCUGGAAAGAUGAAUCAAAGAAGGUAAUAAUCCUGUAGUCGAAAAUGUUGUCUCUCUUGAGUGGAUCCUGAGUACGACGGAGCACGUGAAAUUCCGUCGGAAUCUGGGAGGACCAUCUCCUAAGGCUAAAUACUCUCUAGUGACCGAUAGUGAACCAGUACCGUGAGGGAAAGGUGAAAAGCACCCCGGAAGGGGAGUGAAAUAGAACCUGAAACCGUGUGCUUACAAGUAGUCAGAGCCCGUUAAUGGGUGAUGGCGUGCCUUUUGUAGAAUGAACCGGCGAGUUACGAUUUGAUGCAAGGUUAAGCAGUAAAUGUGGAGCCGUAGCGAAAGCGAGUCUGAAUAGGGCGUUUAGUAUUUGGUCGUAGACCCGAAACCAGGUGAUCUACCCUUGGUCAGGUUGAAGUUCAGGUAACACUGAAUGGAGGACCGAACCGACUUACGUUGAAAAGUGAGCGGAUGAACUGAGGGUAGCGGAGAAAUUCCAAUCGAACCUGGAGAUAGCUGGUUCUCUCCGAAAUAGCUUUAGGGCUAGCCUCAAGUGAUGAUUAUUGGAGGUAGAGCACUGUUUGGACGAGGGGCCCCUCUCGGGUUACCGAAUUCAGACAAACUCCGAAUGCCAAUUAAUUUAACUUGGGAGUCAGAACAUGGGUGAUAAGGUCCGUGUUCGAAAGGGAAACAGCCCAGACCACCAGCUAAGGUCCCAAAAUAUAUGUUAAGUGGAAAAGGAUGUGGCGUUGCCCAGACAACUAGGAUGUUGGCUUAGAAGCAGCCAUCAUUUAAAGAGUGCGUAAUAGCUCACUAGUCGAGUGACACUGCGCCGAAAAUGUACCGGGGCUAAACAUAUUACCGAAGCUGUGGAUUGUCCUUUGGACAAUGGUAGGAGAGCGUUCUAAGGGCGUUGAAGCAUGAUCGUAAGGACAUGUGGAGCGCUUAGAAGUGAGAAUGCCGGUGUGAGUAGCGAAAGACGGGUGAGAAUCCCGUCCACCGAUUGACUAAGGUUUCCAGAGGAAGGCUCGUCCGCUCUGGGUUAGUCGGGUCCUAAGCUGAGGCCGACAGGCGUAGGCGAUGGAUAACAGGUUGAUAUUCCUGUACCACCUAUAAUCGUUUUAAUCGAUGGGGGACGCAGUAGGAUAGGCGAAGCGUGCGAUUGGAUUGCACGUCUAAGCAGUAAGGCUGAGUAUUAGGCAAAUCCGGUACUCGUUAAGGCUGAGCUGUGAUGGGGAGAAGACAUUGAGUCUUCGAGUCGUUGAUUUCACACUGCCGAGAAAAGCCUCUAGAUAGAAAAUAGGUGCCCGUACCGCAAACCGACACAGGUAGUCAAGAUGAGAAUUCUAAGGUGAGCGAGCGAACUCUCGUUAAGGAACUCGGCAAAAUGACCCCGUAACUUCGGGAGAAGGGGUGCUCUUUAGGGUUAACGCCCAGAAGAGCCGCAGUGAAUAGGCCCAAGCGACUGUUUAUCAAAAACACAGGUCUCUGCUAAACCGUAAGGUGAUGUAUAGGGGCUGACGCCUGCCCGGUGCUGGAAGGUUAAGAGGAGUGGUUAGCUUCUGCGAAGCUACGAAUCGAAGCCCCAGUAAACGGCGGCCGUAACUAUAACGGUCCUAAGGUAGCGAAAUUCCUUGUCGGGUAAGUUCCGACCCGCACGAAAGGCGUAACGAUUUGGGCACUGUCUCAACGAGAGACUCGGUGAAAUCAUAGUACCUGUGAAGAUGCAGGUUACCCGCGACAGGACGGAAAGACCCCGUGGAGCUUUACUGUAGCCUGAUAUUGAAAUUCGGCACAGCUUGUACAGGAUAGGUAGGAGCCUUUGAAACGUGAGCGCUAGCUUACGUGGAGGCGCUGGUGGGAUACUACCCUAGCUGUGUUGGCUUUCUAACCCGCACCACUUAUCGUGGUGGGAGACAGUGUCAAGCGGGCAGUUUGACUGGGGCGGUCGCCUCCUAAAAGGUAACGGAGGCGCUCAAAGGUUCCCUCAGAAUGGUUGGAAAUCAUUCAUAGAGUGCAAAGGCAUAAGGGAGCUUGACUGCGAGACCUACAAGUCGAGCAGGGUCGAAAGACGGACUUAGUGAUCCGGUGGUUCCGCAUGGAAGGGCCAUCGCUCAACGGAUAAAAGCUACCCCGGGGAUAACAGGCUUAUCUCCCCCAAGAGUUCACAUCGACGGGGAGGUUUGGCACCUCGAUGUCGGCUCAUCGCAUCCUGGGGCUGUAGUCGGUCCCAAGGGUUGGGCUGUUCGCCCAUUAAAGCGGUACGCGAGCUGGGUUCAGAACGUCGUGAGACAGUUCGGUCCCUAUCCGUCGUGGGCGUAGGAAAUUUGAGAGGAGCUGUCCUUAGUACGAGAGGACCGGGAUGGACAUACCUCUGGUGUACCAGUUGUCGUGCCAACGGCAUAGCUGGGUAGCUAUGUGUGGACGGGAUAAGUGCUGAAAGCAUCUAAGCAUGAAGCCCCCUCAAGAUGAGAUUUCCCAACUUCGGUUAUAAGAUCCCUCAAAGAUGAUGAGGUUAAUAGGUUCGAGGUGGAAGCAUGGUGACAUGUGGAGCUGACGAAUACUAAUCGAUCGAAGACUUAAUCA